GAUGAACGCUGGCGGCGUGCCUAAUACAUGCAAGUCGAACGCUUUGUGGUUCAACUGAUUUGAAGAGCUUGCUCAGAUAUGACGAUGGACAUUGCAAAGAGUGGCGAACGGGUGAGUAACACGUGGGAAACCUACCUCUUAGCAGGGGAUAACAUUUGGAAACAGAUGCUAAUACCGUAUAACAAUGACAACCGCAUGGUUGUUAUUUAAAAGAUGGUUCUGCUAUCACUAAGAGAUGGUCCCGCGGUGCAUUAGCUAGUUGGUAAGGUAAUGGCUUACCAAGGCGAUGAUGCAUAGCCGAGUUGAGAGACUGAUCGGCCACAAUGGGACUGAGACACGGCCCAUACUCCUACGGGAGGCAGCAGUAGGGAAUCUUCCACAAUGGGCGAAAGCCUGAUGGAGCAACGCCGCGUGUGUGAUGAAGGGUUUCGGCUCGUAAAACACUGUUGUAAGAGAAGAAUGACAUUGAGAGUAACUGUUCAAUGUGUGACGGUAUCUUACCAGAAAGGAACGGCUAAAUACGUGCCAGCAGCCGCGGUAAUACGUAUGUUCCAAGCGUUAUCCGGAUUUAUUGGGCGUAAAGCGAGCGCAGACGGUUAUUUAAGUCUGAAGUGAAAGCCCUCAGCUCAACUGAGGAAUUGCUUUGGAAACUGGAUGACUUGAGUGCAGUAGAGGAAAGUGGAACUCCAUGUGUAGCGGUGAAAUGCGUAGAUAUAUGGAAGAACACCAGUGGCGAAGGCGGCUUUCUGGACUGUAACUGACGUUGAGGCUCGAAAGUGUGGGUAGCAAACAGGAUUAGAUACCCUGGUAGUCCACACCGUAAACGAUGAGUGCUAGGUGUUUGAGGGUUUCCGCCCUUAAGUGCCGCAGCUAACGCAUUAAGCACUCCGCCUGGGGAGUACGACCGCAAGGUUGAAACUCAAAGGAAUUGACGGGGACCCGCACAAGCGGUGGAGCAUGUGGUUUAAUUCGAAGCAACGCGAAGAACCUUACCAGGUCUUGACAUCCCUUGACAACUCCAGAGAUGGAGCGUUCCCUUCGGGGACAAGGUGACAGGUGGUGCAUGGUUGUCGUCAGCUCGUGUCGUGAGAUGUUGGGUUAAGUCCCGCAACGAGCGCAACCCUUAUUACUAGUUGCCAGCAUUCAGUUGGGCACUCUAGUGAGACUGCCGGUGACAAACCGGAGGAAGGUGGGGAUGACGUCAAAUCAUCAUGCCCCUUAUGACCUGGGCUACACACGUGCUACGAUGGCGUAUACAACGAGUUGCCAACCCGCGAGGGUGAGCUAAUCUCUUAAAGUACGUCUCAGUUCGGAUUGUAGGCUGCAACUCGCCUACAUGAAGUCGGAAUCGCUAGUAAUCGCGGAUCAGCACGCCGCGGUGAAUACGUUCCCGGGUCUUGUACACACCGCCCGUCACACCAUGAGAGUUUGUAACACCCAAAGCCGGUGGGGUAACCUUCGGGAGCCAGCCGUCUAAGGUGGGACAGAUGAUUAGGGUG
rnacentral:rRNA from 1 species